AUUGAACGCUGGCGGCAGGCCUAACACAUGCAAGUCGAACGGGUGGCGGAGGGGUGGAUGGUUUCGGGGAACCUGCGCGAUGGAGGGGGAUAACUACUGGAACCGGUGGAUAAUCCCGCAUACCAUGCGAUCUGCCCAGGUGGGAUUAGAGAGUCGGUGGGGUAACGUCUCACCGAGGCGACGAUCCCUAGCUGGGCGGAGAGGCUGACCAGCCACACUGGGACUGAGACACGGUCCAGACGCCUACGGGAGGCAGCAGUGGGGAAUAUUGCACAAUGGGCGCAAGCCUGAUGCAGCCAUGCCGCGUGUAUGAAGAAGGUCUUCGGGUUGUAAAGCACUUUCAGUGGGGAGGCGUUACCCGAAGAAGAAGCACCGGCUAACUCCGUGCCAGCAGCCGCGGUAAUAC
rnacentral:rRNA from 1 species